CCUACCCUUUCCGUAAGGAGUUAAUUUCGUUGUGUUUUCCUAUUUGCGGCUGUGUUUUGCACUUCAGGGCCACCGUAACAAGGCCCAGUUUAACAUCUUGGUCCAUCUCGCUUGCGUGUUCAUGAAGAAAUACAUGCCAGAAGAAAGGGCGACUAAGUUGGAAAAGAAGCCCUCCAGCCGGAAGUUUCUCCACGUAUCCCGAUGUUGGGAUUACAGAAACAUGUGCAAGCUCUUGCCAUACAAGCCCAGCCGUUUAGCGUUAUUUAUGCCUACAAUCUUGAGUGUGUCACGUUUUUGUUACGUAGUUUGAGGACGAACAGCAUCAAUGCUGCCUCGGAGAGUGCCAGGAGGUUUUGCAAGAUAGACUAAAAAAGACCAUAACACAUUUCAAAAGUGUGUCUCAGACAAGAGCUGCUCCAAAGGCUCUGAAAAACAGUUGACAAAUUACAGAUAUUACUGCGAAGCGAUCUUAGUACUUCGGCACUUUCAGCGUCCGGCAGUAGUGGAAGAAAUGAGUUUGAGUUUACUGUAUUUCUGCUGUCAAGUUACUGUUUCUUGUUCCCACAGUGGUUUGACGCGUACUAUAAGUACAUUCACCCCGAAUACACAGAUGAACACUGUGAUAAUUUCUUCAAUGUCAAAAAGAAUAAAAGUCUAUAGCGUGACUAGUAACCUCAAGCGUCUGCAUACGAGGCAUGUAGCUAAUUAAAUCCAUAUUCUGAUGAGUCACUAACUAUAUGUACCAUAUUAACAGACACAAUACCAUCACAACUAUUUGUGUCAUCUUUACUUGCGGCCUGUUACAUGGCUCACCCCACCGCCAUGGCACCGCAUUGCUACAGGACGCGGACUGCAGCACGUGUGGUGGAGACAUCUACACUGCUGGCAAAGUUGGCUGACGAUUCCAUACAAAGCCAGUAGCCCGGGACUCCUCUGCAAGAAGUCCUCGCUCCAGCCAAAGGAUAUGAGGAUUUUACCUUUCAAUUUCCUGUGACAAAUGAUGGCAAGCCCCCAUCCAAGAAGCGGAGGAUUGCUUAUGAUAUGCGGCGAGGGGAGCAGUAUAUCAAGAGAUCAAACAUCUGCUGUCAUAUUUCCAAACUCGCAAGCCAUUACCCGCGAUGGUCUCCGGCUAUACUGAGAAGCAAGGGUGGAGGAACGACCACCCCGCAGUGGAUGAGUUUUUGAGAAUGUGGAAGAAAGCCUCGAGACAAAAAAUUGAGGGUGACAAGCAUAUCGUAAAGAGCGUGGUCACACAGAAGUGGAAGGGAGAUUCUUUCAAAGACUUUGGUGGAGAAAAAAAAGGGCGCAGUAAGAACACAAUUACCUUUCCUUGUAAAGGGAGACCCUGAAAUGAACAUUUUAGGCUCUUUGCAUUCACCCAUUCAAAUCUGGUUAUGCAGUUUAUAUUUUGAAUACAUAAUGUUUAUGCAGCUGAUAUUUAAAAAUAACCUGAUACUUUCACGUUUCUUGAUUACAGGAGUGAUUGCAAUCAAGCCCUUUUUUACAAAGGCAUUGUAUGCGGCUGCCAUAGUGAAAUUAUCACAGCCAAUGUCGGGAAUCAAAUGAUGGAGACCAUAAUGGACAAAGCUCCACACAUGCUAUUCUUUAAGAGUCAGGAUCUCUGCGUUGAUAGCCGUCCGUGCAAGUGCCAUCCGGGAAUGGAGACGGUUGGCAGAUUAAUCAAUCGUGCCAGCAAAAACCUGAGGCCGCUUCACCGUGUCUUGAGUAUUGAUGUAAAGGUCAGCAACAUAAUCCUCUUAAAGGCCCGAAAAGACGUGGACGAGGAACUUGCGUUUCGGCUUCCUCACAUGGGAGACUCGCUAGAGGAAGAGAUACUACCUGGCGAGGCUACAUUCCAUCAGGACCAAGGCCCUGCAAACAGUCCCCCCCCCCGUCUGCAGAUGGAACAAAGCCUGACAACGUUCACUCCCCUGCACGUAGCCGUUACACUUAUGCUACACUUGUUAUAUUACUGGUAUCUGUACAGUUUCUAUGUGCUGCUAUUUUAAUUUUACUUACUUACUGUGGACACUGGACUAAAAGUUGUUCAUGUCACCUUUCCCCUGUUCCUCAUUUAUUGGGGCGAUGCUAAAUUCAGCUGAUUUAUUUAUUUAUUUCUUUGAUUACAGAUUACAGAAUAUUAGAAAACGCAAUACGUUUGAUAUUUGGAUAUUGAAACAUAUAAAUAAAGUUCUGUGUGUCUGACCGAGUCAGUAUGAUUACAGACAAGUCGUAAAAACGGUUACAUAACGGAGGUCAAAAAUGUGUAAUUGUGUCUGAAAGACUGACACGCGGCAAUGGGCAAAGCCAGAAAAAUCCUUUAGCAAAGCAUGUUUCUAGGGCUCAUAUUAUAUUUAACAUACAGUACCCACCUCAGGGACUACACUGAGAAUGUAGUGUACAUGUAUCUCAUGUACACUAUUUCCUCAGUAAUAAUUUAACAAAUAGAAUCAGUAAUGCUGGCUGUUCAUAUUGCACAUGGGUUCAGUGGACCCAACCACAACUGGAAUCCGAUAUGAAAGUGGUGCCAUUAUGGAAUAUAAAAUUAUAUUCAAAUAAAGAUACUCUUUGUUUAUCUUCAUUAUUUGACAACAUAUACAUAUUAAAGCAAAACGGGACGAGAAGAGACCACAGGCACAGUUAACAAGAUGCUUCUUCAAUGGUAAAUUCUGUUUUUCGAAUGUUCUACUUGCUUUGGUUUUCGGUCCAUUUGACACACUCAGAUCUACACGAGUCCAUAAGUCUGCGUCCACCAGAUCAAGGUGGGUUAGAAACCACUGAACCAUUCUGUCUCCUGGAGGGCAGAACAACCAAAGCUUAACCACCGCACCAAACCUCCAACGGACAAUCUCAGAAAGCCAAUGAUGCUGCCCGACCCCUGCACAGCCUGUUGCCGUGGUAACAGUGCGGCAAGUACCUCGGUGUCUGUUCACGGUUAUGGGUGUCUGUUGCCAUCCUUCGGUGAAGGGAUUAAUCAUUACUCUGAUGACCUAGUGUUGAAUCAGGUUGGCACUGCUGCGCAUCUGACCGACUACCUGUCCGUCUGCCGACAAAGCAUGUGACACCUGGCGGAUACACGCACACCCCUUCAUUCCUUCAUCUGCUCCAGCCACACGGAAAUGGGGCACAUGCACUCCCAGCUGGACAGUUCUCUUUGGCACUAACAUUGCUUCUUGUUUUUGACGAGAAUGUUAUUUUUCAGCCUCUAUGUUUAGAGCGAGCAAUGUUUUCGGCGAUUUUGGUAUUUCAAAACCUUCUUUGACUGUAGUGGGUUUAUCAAUUAAGAUCAUUUUCUGUGUUUUGUACCUUUAAGAUUAAGAUUGCUUAACCACACAGUUUGUCUGUGUUUUAUUAGUAUAGUUUUUGUUUAACUGUAAUUAUUUUCUUUCUUGUCUUUCUGUUUUGGUUUAGUUUUCUUUUAUUUUAAACCUGUUGCUCUCAUACCCCCCCCAUUCAGGUGGUGAGUCUGCGGUGGUGAAUUGGUGUGUAUAUAUAUAUGUAUAGUAUAUAGCACAGAGAAUCAUAUCUGGGUAGUAAGUAUCCUCGUUUAAUGAUGAUGUAAGGAAAAGCUCCCUUGCUGCUUAGCAGUGGUGUGCUGUCAUUCAUGGUAUUGGUUAGCACACCUUCUAGGUGUAAUAAAAGUGAUCUCAUCUGCCA